rnacentral:rRNA from 1 species
AUUGAACGCUGGCGGCAUGCUUUAUACAUGCAAGUCGAACGGCCGCGCGAGCUUCGUCCUGGCGGCGUGUUGCCGACGGGUGAGUAAUUCAUCCGAACGUACCCAGCCGUUGGGGCUAGCCCAGCUACAGGCGGAUUAAUCCCACAUACGACCUUAUUGUGAAAGCCGGGGACCAAAAGGCCUCGCGCUAUUUGCUGUCCCCGUGCCGGAUUAGCUAGUUGGUUGGGUAAAGGCUUACCAAGGCGACGAUCCGUAGCUGGUCUGAGAGGCCGACCAGCCACACUGGAACUGAGACACGGUCCAGACUCCUACGGGAGGCAGCAGUGGGGAAUUUUGGACAAUGGGGGAAACCCUGAUCGAGCAAUGCCGCGUGAGGGAAGAAGGCCUUCGGGUCGUAAACCGCUUUUGUUAGGGAAGAAAACCUCUGGGAUAAUACCCCGGGGGGAUGACGGUACCGGAAGAAAAAGCACCGGCUAACUACGUG